GUGCCGAGGACAUAGUAGUAGAGUACCGAACGAACCGUCGAAGGCGACGGCGACGGCGAAGAAGCGUGGAAUUUGCAGUGGCGGCGACGGAGAAUGGACGGAGAGGAAGGCGGAGGGAUAAGGCUGAGUAAAAGGUUCUCCGACAAAUCUGGAUCCGGCGAAGUCGAUUACAAGACCAAGGCCGGCACCGCUUGGAGCCAUUCGUAUCUCAAUCAGAAGCCAUGGCAUCCUCUCUCGUAUCCCAAUCAGCGCCGCAAAUGGAUCGCCGAGCAGACUCACUCCCAGCGAGAGAAGCGCGCUGAUGAAGUUGCUCGCGAGUAUGCUCAAGAGCAGGAGUUCUUUCGCCAGACCGCUCUCGUCUCCAAGAAAGAGAAGGAAAAGUUGGAGAUGAUGAAAGCGGUUAGUUUUAUGUAUGUACGACCACCUGGUUACAAUGCUGAAAGUGCAAAAGCUGCUGAGAUUGCUGAUGAUAGGAAGAAACAAGACGGCGAUAACCCUUCUCACGAUUUGCCCAAGGAUGGCUCUGCCAAUGAAAGGCCACCAGAAUCGUCAGCCACAGUCGGUAGGGACCCUGGUGAGAAAAAGAAGCCGAGGCCGAAAGAUGUUUUUGGGCGUGCUUUGCCAACCGAGGAAGAAUUUGAAGUCUUAAAAAAUGCUCCUCGGAUGGACACAGGUGUUUUUGCAAGAGUAAAACCAUUUGGAGUAGAAGUACGCAAUGUAAAAUGUGUAAGAUGUGGGAUCUAUGGUCAUCAAAGCGGUGACCGUGAAUGUCCGUUGAAGGAUGCUAUAAUGCCCAACGAAGAAAGCCGAUUGAAAAGAGAUGACCCCUUAACCACCAUACUUGCCCAUGCUGAUAACAGUGAGCCUCUGAAGUGGGAGUUGAAGCAGAAACCGGGAAUUAGUCCUCCCCGUGGAGGGUUUAAUCCUGAUGAUCCAAACCAGCAAAUAGUUGCCGAGGACAUAUUUGAUGAGUAUGGAGGCUUUCUCAGCGGUGGUAUCGUCCCGGAAUUACUGUCCAAUUUUUCAAGCAAACCCAAGAAAAAGAAGUCUUCGAAGGAAAGCUCACGGAAAAAGUUCCUGUCAUCACCUAGAAGAAAAGCAAAGGAUCUAGAAGAUAACGAGAGAACGUCAAAGAAGAAAAAUAAAUCUAAAAGAAAGAAACAAAUCAGUAGUGAAUCAAGUUCAGAAACUUCAGAGUCUGAUAGGCGUGAUAGAAGGAAUAAGCAUAAGGCUUCCUAUUUGUCUGAUGAUUCCAACUCCGAAAUGCAUCUUAGGACUAAAAAACAUAGAAGGAAGCAUUUAUAUACUUCUGAUGUUUCCAACUUUGAGCGGCAUCGUAUUUCUGAUCGAUAUUGCCCUGAACCAAGUACAUCGGAUAUUUCAGAGUCUGAGAGGCAUGAUAAAGGAAGGAAACGCAAGGAUUCUUAUUCCUGUAGGAAGCUGGAGUCUGGAUUAGAACAUAGAUCAGCCAGAAAAAACCAGUCAUAUUCUUCUGAAGAUUCCGACUUUGAGAGGCAUCAAAGAAAUGGUAAAAGCAGAUCCAAACACACUUCGUCGAGAGGUCUCCAUUCUGAUAGUCAUCAUUUAAAUAGCAAAAUGAGACACAGGAGGUCGCACUCGUCUGAUGAUUCAGAAACGAAGAGGCAUCAAAGAAGUAAAUGCCGAAAGCAUAAUUACUCAUCAGAUGAUUAUGAUCAGGAGGGACAUGAUAGAGUUAAGAAGAGAAAACAUUAGCGUAUCUUUGCUAUGUGUAUAUUCAGAACCUUGGGUCAGUUUGAUUGUUCAUCAUGUUUGAGAUUGGUCUCGACUGGGGCGAUACGGUACAGAACGAGCAAAGAUGUGAAGCCUUCCAAAUCUGGUCGGAGCUUAGUAUUUCAAAAUAAGACUGCAAGUUGUUUGUACUGGCAGGUUGGUGUAGCGUUCUCGUUUCACUUGAGAACUCGAGGACACACGAGGACACAAAGGUACAACCUAUAAAACAGAUCUUGUUCAAGUAAGAUGUUUACCGUAGCUUGAAUUUCGUUAUCUACUAUAUUUUAGGCACUAGAGAUUUGACCAUCUUUCAACUGUGGUUUCUUCUGUAUUGCUGGAAAACAAAUUUGUUUGUUUGUUUGUUGAGAUUAGAAGGAGAAUCCAGCAAUAACGAUGAGGGUAGAUAAUUUAAUGUAUGAGUUGAAUUUCUAUUUUUUAGACAGACUAAUAAUA